rnacentral:lncRNA from 1 species
UUGUUUCGCACAUCCCUCUUCACUGUUCGACACCCUCACAAACCCUUCAUCCUCUCGACACCUACCAUUCAAGUUUCCACAUCACUUGAAAAACCCACACACCUUCACCACAUCUUUACGCUCAAACCGCAUACUCGUCGGAGAAGUCGGGUCGUCGCUGUAGAGUUACGGGCCUCGCCGGACCUGCAAGUGGCCGGACACGUAUCCACGCCGGAGUUCGCCUGAGUUCGAGACGUCGCCAAAGAACCGAACGCCGUCGGAGUUCACGUUAACUGUUCGGUUGAUAGUCAAGAUGAUGAAAAGGGUAGUUGCACGGUACCCCUGACCGCGGAAGGGAUCUCCCUUCCCAGUUCACCACCCGACAAGGAUCCCUGGCGGCAAAUACCCAUAGCCAUCAAAGAGGGGUAAGAAACAUGUUUCGAACCCGAGACCUCGAGUGUCCUCGGUCCGGCUUUAAAGCGGGUGUCGGUGGCCACCAAAGUGGCACUAAUGGGAAUUGAACUUGGGUCUCCAUUGGAGAACCCAAGUCACUCCACCACUAGGCCACUUGUGGUGGUUAAGAUGAUGAAGGAAUCAAAAUAGGAUGGACUAGAUACCCAUUUUAAUAAUAAACCAUGUAUUUGAAUUUAUGUUAUGAUGCUUUUGAGCGAUUUGUUCGUCUCAUCCCGAUGUAUCCGCCAUCGGUUGGGGUGUGA